rnacentral:tRNA from 1 species
GUGGCCAUGGUGUAGUGGUAGCACAGGAGAUUGUGGCUCUCCUAGCACGGGUUCAAUCCCCGUUGGUCACCCCA